AUGCAUAGGAUUGCACUAUUCCGUUUGUCCAUGCUUAAUCUACACUGUAGUUUGGCACCACCUGUAACUGUCAUGACUCAAUGCUAUGGAAUUACUGGAGUUGUAGUUUUACAAUUAUGGAAUGGAAUAUAUGUUAUGGAAUUCUGGGAGUUAUAGUUUCACAAGGAUUUUAGCCUUCUCUGCCAAAGAGAGAUGAAGCUUUACCAAAUUGCAACUCCCAGGAUUCCAUAGAAUUGGGCUUAUGACAAGUUAUAGUGGUGUCCAACAGCAUUCAUUCUAUCGUGUAGAUGCGCCCCUAGCAUUCACUGUAUUCAUUGCACAUGCCCUUUUAUUUUUAUGGAAAUCAGGUGAAUUUAUUUGUUUUGUUUUGUUUUUUUAAAAAAAAUAAGUUAAAUUGAAAAUAUGUAGAAAUUAAUUUACAUGAAAUGGGAAGGAAUGCUUUGAGUUGUAAUAAAAAGCUUUUGUGACACGUGGUGUUUUAUAUGUCAUGUACAAUAAUGUAAAACCAAUGUUAAUGUUUGGUAUAAUUUUUUAAAAAAUUCUUAAAGGGCACUUGAGUGAUUCUUACAAGUGAAGACAAAAUUUUUUUGUUUCUUAAUAAAUAUUUUAUGGUGUGAUCAUUUUCUCUCCGAGUCCUUUUUGACUACUCAUUUGUUUGUUUUUGUGUUGUGUGUUAUAAGUUCAAAAGACAAGUAUAAAUAAAUCCCAUUGAUUUUUGUCAGAAUUCUGUAAAGAUUUGCUUAAAAUAUCUAUUGAAAUAAAUGGGAACUUAAAAAUUUUCCCCAUUUUAAAAAAGAUGUAUACAUAUAUUAAUCAAGAGCUACAGAUUUGGUUAAAUAUAAGGUCCUUUCUACACUGUCAUAUAAAAUCCAGAUUAUCUAUUUUGAACUGGAUUAUAUGGCAGUAAACCAGUUCAAAGGAGCUGCAUUGGCGCAAUGGGAUGAAGCCUGCACCGGCUGAACUGCUGACCAGAAGGUUGGUUUGCUGAUCUGGAGGUUGCUGGCUCGAAUCCGUGAGACAGGGUGAGCUCCCGUCUGUCAGCUCUAGUUUGCAGGGACAUGAGAGAAGCCUUCCAGCUAACACAUCCUGGCAUCCCUCGAUUAUAUAGCAGUGUAGAAGGGGCCUAAAUUACUGUGUUUAUGAGAUGCAUAUAAUCUCACAGAGGUAGUAUGAUCAAUGUGAUUAUAUUAAUUAGAUACAGCAUUUUGGGAGAAGACUUGUUUGAUAUAAGGGAAGUUAGGGGUAGUCAACCAUAACUCUUCAGAUAUAUUUUGAUAGUAAUUUCCAUAAUUCAUGAUAUGCUGUUUGGGUUUAUAGCAGUAAUAAUCAGUAAUAAUCCGACACCUAGAAGACCACAGGUUCCCCAACAUUGUCCUUUAACAUAAGUGAUCGUAUAAAACAAUGUUUCUCAGCAUUUGGUACUUCGAGUGGAGUGGACUUCAAAUCCCAGAUGCCCACUGAGCAUAGCAGAUGUUUAGCAAAUCCAGACCAAAAAACCUCAAGGGCCAAAGAUUAAGAACCACUGGUACAGACAAAGAUGCUUUAAUUAGGGUAUUUUUUCACGAAAAUGAAGCUGUACUUUACUCUUUCUACGCCAGUGUGGGCAAUUUGUAUUGGUAAUGUUAGCGAGAGUUUAUGAGAUUUGCAAUGCCAACAGUUUUGGAAAGACCUUGUGUUGUUGACCCCUGUUUUACAGAAAUAUGAAUAGUCAAAGUUCAAUGGAGCCUCCAUUCUCAGGAUGGAUCUACACUGCCCUAUAUCCCUGGAUUGAUCCCAGAUUCUCUGCUCAGAGAAUCCUUUCUACACUGCCAUAUAAUCCAGACUCAGAUCCUUUCUACACUGC
ensembl:lncRNA